GUAACCAAUAAAAAUCAUGAGGUUAAUUGGCUAUUCAAUUAACCGAUAUUUAACAUCCCUAACACUUACCCCUGCACUUUAGCCUUGAAAUAUGCCUCUAGCAAUAAAAAGCUAUUUCAACCUCUAGGCCCUUUUUAUCAUUGGAUUCUAUGGAAAAUGGCAAGAGGAGGGAUUUUAUUCGAUAGAGACACCAUCUACCAGGAAGUGGACGGACUAACUCACUUGGACCUCUAAAUGGCUUCCAGUUAAAGGGUGGACCUGAGUUACUCUAUUCUUAAGAACCAGAGAAAAGAAACAAGUAACAUAUUUAAGUAUUUCCUUAUUCAAUAACGCAAGCUGGCUGCUAACAGUUUAAUGUAGUUUGUCUCCUAAUUAUAGGAAAGCCUUGAUCUUCACUUGCGAUUCCAUGAGUAAUGUCAGAAUACAAAUUUCCCCAGAACAAUCUUCUCCCAGGUAGGCACACUUCAAAAGCUAUUAGUUGGUGUCAGUCAUGGGGGCGUGGCUCUGGAACUGCUCCCUGUGAAACUGUUUGGGACUCUGGUGCAGCAUGCUUCCUCUCUCUGAGCCCACUGUCGCCAAGGUAAGAAGCUCACGCAACUUUGACCUUCAUGGGACAGAUUCAUAGCGUUCAACAUUCACUUCUGCACUGUGCGUUCCCUGUAAUGUGUCUACUCAGGCAGGGCACUUGCAGAAACCAGAGGACUCUGCAGCCUCACUCCACUCCACUCCAUAACUCUCAGCCAGCAUGUAGGACAGAAGGUUUAUUAAUUGACAAAGACAUAGCACAGAACAGAUCUUGUCAGCACAGAAACCAUGAACAUUCAGUAAACUGAGAGGAUUCUGGCCCUCCCCAAGAGAGCCAAGACUCACUUCUAGCUGCUUGGCUCUUGCUCUUCCUCCAGCCUUUGUCUUGCUUUGUAGGCCAAGAAUCAGCUGGUCACAUCCCCCUCCUGGUCUCAAGUUAGAGCUGUUUGGCUGAUGGCACUGUACAACUUUGCCUUUUAUUUCCAGGAGGAAUCCUUUCUGUAGAGGUGGGAAUUCUUCACACAUCUAAGCUGAAGGACUACGUGGGACUAGUAUGCAUGGAGGAGCACAAUAUGAUGGCUGUUGGAGGCAAAGGAGGAGCAAGGGCAGAGUUAAAAUGGAUGUUCUCUUUCUCACCUGUUAAUGAUGAUGUUUGGUUUCCUAAACUGUUAAAGUGUUAUCUGUUAACCUCCUAUCCCUUCCCUGAGUGAGUGCAGAAGAAUCUGAGGUAAACAGCAGGAGUAAACAACAGUGCACACGGCUGGAGCAGGGAGUGCACCCGGCCCAAAGAGGCCCAGAGACUCAGAAGCCGAGACACAGUUGGUUGACUAUCAAGUGGAGCCUCCCAAGAACACUCUCUGCUCAGCUCGCCUGGCCAGCAGACCAGCUUAGGAGUCAACUUGGGACGUUCAAUCAACAUGAACUGCCUUCUGCUUGCCUUAUCAUCCUGCCUGAGACUAAGUGUGGUUGAGUGUAAGAAUGAAAUUCCCCUCCCUUCCCAGUUUUAACUGAAUAAACAAACUCUUUACACUGUUUUGUGGUGAGCCCCUCUUCCUAGUGUUUAAAGCAGUUGCAAUCUACAUCCCCUUGCAACAAUGGCAGCACAAAAGAGUAUUAGACAUCAGUACUUCAUUUUUCAGAUAUGUACUGAAUCCUUUCUAAGAUGUUUUCUUUAAGGGACAAAACGUACUUGCAACCUCAGCUUUCAUUUCUCAGACCAAUAUUUUCCUCUGACCAUCCACUGAGAUGUAAUUUUGAAUGAUACAUGAAUUCCCUUGCUGCUAUCCUUAACAUAAAAUACAAACAGACCAGUAAUUAGACAUAUAACAGAUGGAGUUCUCCCAUAUUCAUAAGGCAGUUGAGACCAGGUCUGUUUCUAGACUGACUUAAUUAUAAUGAAAGAUCUCCAAGGGCCAAGUUAUUCUAGAGAACACCUAUCUGUUCUGUGACUAAACAACCACUAGAUGUCACUGAUGUCUUAAUAUACAGAAAAUAUUUUUUCUGCAUCAAUGACAAUUCUUACUGUAAUAACAAUUACAUUUUUCUAAAGCUGUAUUUGCUGCAGUGGAUAAACUCCAUGUAUAAUUUAUUUGCAUGUUGUUAGAACGGGGGUCCUGAUAUCUCAAUAUUAGCACCAACAAUAUUAAACAGCUGGUGCUUCUUAAUGUUUCUGGUGCAAAGGAAAUAAGAGUGGGACAACAAACCAACCAAACUUACUCUAGCUCAGUGGUCACUAACCAGUAGAUCAGGAUCUACUGGUAGAUCUUGGAGCUUCUUGACAAGUG